AUUGAACGCUGGCGGCAGGCUUAACACAUGCAAGUCGAACGGUAACAUAAAGAAGCUUGCUUCUUUGAUGACGAGUGGCGGACGGGUGAGUAAUGCUUGGGAAUCUAGCUUAUGGAGGGGGAUAACUACGGGAAACUGUAGCUAAUACCGCGUAGAAUCGAGAGAUGAAAGUGUGGGACCUUCGGGCCACAUGCCAUAGGAUGAGCCCAAGUGGGAUUAGGUAGUUGGUGAGGUAAAGGCUCACCAAGCCGACGAUCUCUAGCUGGUCUGAGAGGAUGACCAGCCACACUGGGACUGAGACACGGCCCAGACUCCUACGGGAGGCAGCAGUGGGGAAUAUUGCGCAAUGGGGGCAACCCUGACGCAGCCAUGCCGCGUGAAUGAAGAAGGCCUUCGGGUUGUAAAGUUCUUUCAGUAGCGAGGAAGGCAUUUAGUUUAAUAGACUAGGUGAUUGAC
rnacentral:rRNA from 1 species